CUGGACACCUCAUAAAAAAUUAUCAUAAAAUUAAUUAUACAUUCAUUUUUGCAUUGCACCUCAGUUCAGUGUGACAUGUGGUCACGGACCUGCUCGGCUUCACUUCUUCAAGCAGGAAUUUAACUGCGUUUCUGCCUGACAAAUGACUUUCUAAUGACUAGCAAGUUAUUUCCAAGUCACAAGAACGCCCGGCCUCAGUUGAAGAAACAGAACAUGGCCAAAUUUAAGACGUUUAGCAGAUUCAGCAGAUCAGAGAUAUCUUCACUUGAGAUUACGGAUGCCUUGUGUUCAACCAUUGCGCAGCUAAAAAAGUCCUCGAGCUUGCUUGAGGACCUCUGUGUGAAAUAGACGCUGAGACUUGGGAUAGCAAGUGGACAAGAAAAAAACCCAAUCUUUAUGAGAGCUGGAAUGUGGAGUAAGAUUCACAGAAACAAACACAAGGUUAGGAGGAAACCAAACGAACGCAGGAAAAUGAUUACAGGGAGGAAAACUGAAACUGGGAAUGGAAAAACGGGGAGCAAGCAAUGGAAUUGGGCAAAACGUAAGUACCUCCUUUAUUUGUUUUAUUGAGGGCGUUGAAAUCAAUCUGCACUAAAGGAUUAAAACAUUUUGAUAGAUUUUGUCAUGUCCUGCAAAACAACAAAUUAAUAUGAUCAAAUUGCGUAUUUAUGGCAAAUGGAAAAUCCCACGGUUACUUUUCCACGCCAAAAGUCAAACUCAAUUGCCUAGAUAUGCAAAAACGAAAAGAUGUAGUGACCUAAAGGUUUGUCUCUCGAACGGAUCUUUGCAUUUUUGGCGAAAUGUUGGUGUAAAAAAAUUCGAACUGAAAAAAAAAUUGAAAUUGGAAAAAAAUGUGUUGUUUCAACAACGUAACAACCGAUUGUGUGAUCAACCAUCAAUCAAGCUCUUGUUGCUGUAGUGUAGUCAAUUAAAUUUAAGAAUUGUUUUCCUUGAUCGAGAUUUGAAGUUAAAAGAAUGUGAACGUUUUCAACUUAAAAUGUAACCAUUUUGAAUCGCAAGGAACUUUUUAAUCUACAUAUGACACUUUUUCAACCUGGAGGUUUCGGAAACUUCAUGACUUUAAAUUCCAAA